UAAAAGAUAACUUGUAGUAUAUCAAAGUUGUACUUCAAUUGAGCUAUAAUAUUUGCUAGUAGAUGAUUAGGUUGCAUAUGCAUUUGGCUUGUGGUUCUUACUUUGAAAUUGUAUCUAUCUAAAAAUAAGACUUGUAGUAUUUUAAAAUUAUUACUCAAGUGAGGUAUUAGCAGCUUAUUUGAGUGUUGUUUUUCUUGUCGAGAUGCAAUACCUUCAUCCUUUUCCAUUAGGCCUUCUAUUUUUAUGUCCAAAUAUUGUAUUAGCUAUGUUUUAGUGGAUAUAUGACUUAUGGAAGUUAGCCAACUAAUAGUCCUUAGGAAUGUUAAUCUUA
rnacentral:lncRNA from 1 species